UACGUAGGGGGCUAGCGUUGUCCGGAAUCAUUGGGCGUAAAGAGCGCGUAGGCGGCCAGAUAAGUCCGGUGUGAAAGUCAAAGGCUCAACCUUUGAAUGCCGCUGGAAACUGUCUGGCUAGAGUCCGGGAGGGGCGAGUGGAAUUCCUGGUGUAGCGGUGAAAUGCGCAGAUAUCAGGAGGAACACCGGUGGCGAAGGCGGAUCUCUGGGCCUUACCUGACGCUCAGGCACGAAAGCUAGGGGAGCGAACAGG
rnacentral:rRNA from 1 species